rnacentral:rRNA from 1 species
AUAAUAUUAGAAUUGUUACAUUAGGUAAAAAUUGAGAUAUUAGAUUUAUGUCGUGAGUAAAUGUAUUAGAUACUAUAGAUUAAGGUAUUGUGAGAGAUUUUUGAAAAAUUGAAAAUAUAUUUAUAAGGAAGCUAUUUUUAUGUACCUUUUGCAUUAGGGAUUAACUAUAAAAAUUAAUUAUUUAUUUAUCUCGAAAUGUUUUGAGCUACUUGGUAUAAAGGUGUAUUGUUGUAUAAAUAUAUUAGAUAUUUAGUAGGAAUGAAAUUUUUGUCAAAAAAUGUGAUAUCUAGUUAUGGAAGGAAAACUAUAUGUUUAAAAUAAUUGAUAAGAUGUUAAAAGAAUUAUUGAUUUUUUAUUUAGGGAUAAGCUUGGAUAAAUAAUAUAAAGUUUCUUUUUUAUUUGUUGAAGGUUUAAAAUUUACUUAUUAUUUGUAAUAAAAUAGUAAUUUUUGGGAUUUUUUUUAUAAAAGUUUUUUUAUAGAAUUUGAUUUAAAAGGAAAAAUGUUAGUAUUAGUAUAAGUUUAUUUCUGGGGAUAUUUUUAAAUUUUAUAUUUGGAUAAGAUUUUAGAUGUAAAGGAAUUAGGCAAAUAUAAUUUUUGCAUGUUUAACAAAAACAUAGUAUUUUGAUUUUAAUAAAAUAUAUGAUCUGCUCAAUGAUUUAUUAAAUUGCUGUGGUAUUUUGACUAUACGAAGGUAUUGAAAUAAGGCUUUAAUUGGGUGCUAAGAGAAUGGUUAGACAGGGAUUGACUUUCUUUGUAUUUAAAAUUGAAGUUGAUUUAAAAAUGAAAAAGUUUUUAUGAGUUUUUAGGACAAGAAGACCCUAUGAAUUUUUUUUAAAGAAUUUAUUUAUAAUUUUUGUUAUAUUAAGUGAAGUAAUAAUUUAAGUUGAUUGGGGCGAUUUUUGAAGAUUGAAUAUCUUUAUAAAUUUGAUGUAAUUAGAACCAAAAAUUUUGGUUUUUUGAGUAAAAUACUCUAGGGAUAACAGCGUUAUUAUUUUGGAUAGUUCAUAUAGAUGAAGUAGUUUGCGACCUCGAUGUUGGAUUAAGAUACCUUUUUAAUGUAGCAGUUUUAAAAGGAAGUUUGCUCAACUUUUGAAAUCUUACAUGAUCUGAGUUCAGACCGGCGUGAGCCAGGUUGGUUUCUAUCUAAUAAUUAAGUAGAAUUAUUUUAGUACGAAAGGAAUUGAUGAUUCAAAAUUUUUGACUGAGAAAUUUAAGAUUCGGUUUAAU